CAUCAGCCUCUAACACCGUAAGCGAUACGAGACAAAACGAACGAACAAUCCAUCUCUGGGCAGGCAAACCGCAUAGAUCUAAUAACUCGCUCUAAGUGGUGACAGCCGGGCAGUCGUAUGUACUAAGUUAGUUCUCACGUUCGCCGGCGGAAUGAUUUGACGCAACUGCUGGUCAAUGGAGGGUUCCAACAGUUGUCAGGGUGCUAAUGUCAGUAUAGGUUCAGCAAUAAGAAUCGCCUAUAACAAUGAAGACAAAGGCACUUAGUGCCAUCAUGUAUUGCUGCAUAGCAAAUGUGGUAUUAAGAUGAGGACGCGACAAUCCCGCUAUUUCAAGGUAUACAUGAACCGGAUAAACUAGCCUGAAGUUUAAUGAUGAUUAAAGCUAUUUAACAACAAGUGUUUAGUUAGUAACAAUGAUGCUAUACAUUUUUAAUCACAGUGAAACGCCGCCCGGAACAGCAAGUAUUCUAUACGCGUUCCGAAAAUGAGGUAACGAACAACAGGAUCUCGCUUAAUAUAUAGAAGAUAGAAAAGGCACCUCAUUCUCCAGCCAUCCGCUUGUCCCACCGAAAUGCAAAGCAGAAAACUAACAUAAAAACAAGGGAUGGCCUUCAACUGGCCUCCGUUGAUUCUCGGUGUGUACUGUGUUGUCCAACACAACUAUCAAUAUCAACCAUUUACCGAAGUGUGGACGACGACGCGAACUUCUGCUUCGACUUCGUCGACGACAAAGUAGAGCUGCUGUUGGUGCUAUUAACGCUAUAUUUUUUUCGUCUAUUUUAGUCAACCAAACAAUCGCUUGAAAUUAAACGUUACGCGGUGUUUUGUGCUCGACAAGGAAAGAUGGCAACAACAGCAGGGUAAAAAACGAAAAUGCCCGUGAUGUUCGGUCUAUCUCAUUGAGGUCCUACUCCUAGAUGUGUGUACAUAUAUAGUAUCGAAGCUCUUGUGACUGGCCGGCAGUCCGUCGCUGUGCGAAGAACAACGACUGCAAUGGCUGCAACAACCUCAUAUAAACGACGCCAAAACGCGACAGAAAAGCACCGCUGUCCACCAAAUCUGUAUCAGGAAGAGAGCGUGUAGACCAAACGAAGAGUGGCAAGAACAAAAAAUCGUAGCGAAGGCAGAAUCUUCUUCAGCAGCAGCUGCCCCAGCCGCCGAAACAACGUCUUCUUUUUCAAUAUGCGCCACAGGUCGUUAGAACGAAAUCAACGAAGAUUUAUUACGCGACGGUUCGCACACGAGACCUCAACAACGGCAGGUAGUACCCCCAUCGCCGCCGCUGUCGACGCUAUCAACGCCACCACCGCAAGCAAUAUUACAACUCCUCCGCCUUCUUGAUCGAAUCCCAGCCACGGCCUUAGUCGCAGUGUUUAACUGGACCAAUUUGUAUGGAAAGCUGAAAAGGGCCAAGAAAAAAGGAUAAGACCAGCACACAACGGCCCCGAUAAACGAGCACGAGAAACAGAAGAAACUAAUCGAAUAAACAGAAUAAA